GGACUCUGUCUGCUUUUGGGGUGGAAGUGCCCUGCCAAAAACUCCAGCUCUCCAUGCUGGCUGUGUGGCCAGCAUACCUCCUGCCUUUUCAACGAUUCCUCUGCCCUGGAUAGAGAGCGGUGUCUCAUAACAGUUUGGAAACUACAAAAGUUUCCCUGGCAGGAUGAAUGAUUGACUCGGCAACAUGUUCUUGCCUUUUGGAGUUGCCCUCCAAUUUUUCCAGGCUUGAUUCUGUAAAUCAUUUCAUCUUGUAAAAAUACUGGGCUGUGAGCACGGAUGAUCUCAAAGAUGAGGAAACAGAAGCUGGGAUAUGUGAGUAAACAUUUCCAAGGUCCUGCAGCUAAUCAAUGGUUGACAACUUCUUUCCUCUGCCUAUGUUGCCAUCCAUGUCAUGGUUUGUGUCAAGACUCUAGGAGAAGUCUACCAUCAGCACCACAGCUACUGUGCACAAAUCCAGAAUGCCAGACUGAAGUCAGAAGGAAAGGACCUGGCUUUUAAAAAUGGUGAAGGGAAAUGUUCUUAUCACCCAUUCCUGUCAGAGAUGAUGCAGCUCAUUGCUGAUGCUGAGAUCCAACGUCCAGUGCCUGAGUACCCCUGGAUUCUGAGCACUAGGGGCUGGACUGUGGAGACCAUCAGUUCAUAACAUCCUGUCCCUGCUCCCUGCUGUAGAUGACUGAGACCAGAAAGAAGAUUGGAAAAAUCUCCCAUGACCAAGGAAAAUUGUGAAAAAUAUUUCUGAUAUUUUGUCUAUGCAUUUUAUUUUUGAGGGUGUUUUUUAUAUUAGUGUGACUAUUUUGUAUUUCCUACCCUGUUGUAAACUUUUUAAAAAUUGCUCUUACAGUUAUUACUAAGUAUAUGAUUUAAAAUCCCUAAUUAGGGUUCUUAAACAAGGGAGAAGCACUCUCAUACCCCUAGAACAAGAUGAACAAAAGAAGGAGGAAAAAUCUUGACCUCCGUAAGAUCCAGGAUGGCACGUGCAAGGCACUGACACAGCAUCUGCCGGCAUCACUGACUCUCCUGGACCCCAGAAGCCCAGUUCCCCAGGCUCUGAAACCCUGCAGCAAUGAAAAGGAAGCACAGGCAAACCAUAAGGAAGAUAAUUUUUCUACUAAAAAAUAAAUAGAAAUGCAUCCUUAGAGGCAGGUUUCAUGAGGACACAGAGAAUCCGGUUUUGUGUGUGCCUGAUUUCGUUUUUCUGUCAAAGAGAUACAAAACAAUCAACUGAGUUAUCUUGAACUUACAAAGAUUAAAAAUAAUCAAUUCCUGUUACUAUUUUCAAUUUUUCCCCCAUUUUACUUCUUUAGGUAUGAAGAAAUGUAGCCUAUUAAAACCUGGAUUAAUAAAAACCUUUCAUUAACUUUUAGAA
rnacentral:lncRNA from 1 species